UNGGACAGGGACGCUGCCUACCAGUGGG
rnacentral:piRNA from 1 species